UCUGAAGAAGGGGGAAACUGAGGCAAGGGCAAGGGCAAGGGCAGGGACCUUCCCAGUCAGCACAAACUACCUACCCCAGUCAGCUUUGCUGCCCAGACUGCCUCAUCCACUUUGCCCCCCUUCCCACCCACAGGCUGCCUGAGGGCCUGUUCUCUGGGAACCAGCAAGGAGCACAUUUCCCAACACAGGAAAUGCCGGUGGCUGUUGGCUCUGGCCCCAGCCUUUUCUCUGCUCCCGGCCUUUUUGGAUUCCUGGAAUCCUUUGGGGGUCAGAGUCUCAUUCAAAGAGCAGGAUUCUGAUCCCUGCCCUGCUUCAGCACCCAAAUCUUUAGGGAGCUGGUUGGUGGGAUGCCAGGCCAGACAGGCCUUUGGAGGGAUGUUGUCAAUCUCUCUAGGAGGUCAUGGUUUCCGGCAUGCUGGGAAGGGCCCCAUUCCCUCAUCCCCACCCCCGACUCUGUAGUGACUUUAACAUCCCAAGACAGGUCUCUCUGCCUGUCUUUAUGCUCCUCUCUUUUCCUUACCUUCAGCACUGAGGAGUUUCCGGUCCCGGUAUAGAUCAGUGAGGAAGAGACUAUUGACAAGAGUGGAUUUACCCAGGCCAGACUCUCCUGACAGGAGAGAGGACAGAGGCACCAAAUCAGAAGAUGCAAAACCACACCAGAAUCUGGCCCUGGACCCCAGGAGAGAAGAAAAAACCUACCAGUGGAUGCUGAAUAUGGACAGAGGGCAGCCAAGAGGGACCAAGUGAGAGGUUGGGAGGACAUUGGAAGAGCCUGGAAGGAUGGCUGGACCUCUAAGACUGCUGACGGCCCCCAAAUGAGAGGAACAUCUAGGGAAACCCCUCAGUAGUCACAGUGUGGUGGUAGGCAGAGAAUGGAGUGGCUCCUCUAUAGAAGCCAGUUCCACUCCACCCCCAGCUUGGGAGAUGGGCAGCUCCCCCUCAGCUCUAGACCCUAUAUCUUCCCCUCUCUCCUUUGGGGGUCAACGUCCUUUGUGGAGUGCCUGGCAGUGCUGGGCUCAGCUCUGCCUCACAACACCCACGUGCCACCCCCAGACAAUGGACAACGGCCGGCUGCAGAAGCUGACUCACCCUCUGGGGGUUGGCCAAGCCAAGGGGGCUACCCUGGACCACUGUGGAGUCCCAGGCAAAGUGAAGGAGAUAAGAUGGUCAGAGUCUUCCUGCAUAGCUCCAUUUUACAAAGGGAUGAAAUGAAAGAGGCAGAUGUGCACACUGUCAGUUUAUGCCAGACAGAAAGGACUAGGAAAGGGAAGCUGGAAGGAAAAGUCUCCUAAGAGUUAACUUUCAGGCGUCACCUCUCAUCCCCAUACCUGCUGAUAACAAACUUUGGAGCGUGCCUGGACAGAAGGGUGGAAAGAGACCCUUUAGCCUGAAACUAGAACUGGCAUGUGGAGGUUUAGUGAUCACAAGAGGCAAUCCUAAGGCAGGCCUGAUAUUUAUGAGAUCUGUUGGGUUAACUAUACAACCCCUUAUAUGCUUAUUGGUCUCGCAUAAUGAUUUAAUUGUGUCCCUUUUCACUCUCAAAAUUAUCCCAGCUUGAACAAUUAAUGAUACAGCAACAGAGAAGGAAUGGGGCUUGAGGGAUAGCAUGUCCUGUUGUCUGGCAGCUAAUGAGUCUGGGGAAUUCCAGGAAACGUUGUCUUUCUACACAGCCCCACAGUGCCCUAGCAGUUGGUCUGGGGAUUGGCUAAGGAUGGGAGAGAGAACUCUGCUCAGUGGGUACUGAGCAGAGGGGCAACAGAAAAGGGAAAAGGGAAGGUGCUGAUGGAGAGCCCUGUCCCCCCACAAUCUUCCAGCAGAGACACCAGGAACUCGGCACUGUCCUCUCUGACAGCCUUGGCUAUGCUUCAGCAUGGAGGAAGCCAAAGGGCUCUAGCCAAAGAGUCACAACACUAGGAUCCUCACCUCCCAUCUGUCCACACCCCCCAACUCUGCCACUGAAUUUGAGCAUUACUCCCAGUUAAGGCAGAGGGAAGUCAAGUCAGGUCCACCCAACUCCCAGAGCAGCAUCUUACCCCAGCUUCAGUCCCAUCCUCAGGGACAGAAUUCCCUUGCCAUCCCAGUGAACGGUCCAUGCCCCACACUUCAGACUCCCUGUCAGCAAGCUCUAGGUCUAAUUUUAUCUCCCAGGCAAAGUUCCUCACACACAGAAACAGCCUUGUCUUGAUGCUCUUGUUGUCAUCUGGCUUCCGGACUUGCUCCUUUCCCUUUUUCUUUGACCUCCCUCUGUCUCUGGCAGGGGCCAAAAAAGUCUGUGGAAUGUCCUACCCCACUCCCUCCUCCUCCUCCCCUUCCCUUGGCUCCCACCCUCCAAGGGCAGCUCAGCUGCAGCAGGAUCACUUGGUUCCUCUGCAGUCCCCUCCUCCUCUGAUUGGCUGCCCCAUGACGCCUGCUCGCUGACUGCCCUGGUGGGCACAGCACCAACCUCCCAAGUCUAUCUGCAGCACAGACUCUUGAUCCACUUGGCCUCUUCUGUUAACCCCCAAGGACCGUGAUGCUUGCCUGAAGACUAUGAACUGUCCCCCAAGGUGACCUGACCCACCAGUACACCCAGGACAGUCACCCAGGAAACCUAUUCCCAACUCCACCCCCCAUCUCUCACCUUAAGCAGUGCUGAAGUAGGGUAGAAUAUCCAAUGAUCCUCUGAGUAUAAGUUCCAGGGGUCUUCCCAAGUGUUCCUUUGUUUUCUCCCAGCAGGAGAAAUUGCUAUCCCACUGUCUUAGAAAAUGUGCUCCUAGAUUUGCCUGCAGAGAAUCUCAGCCACAGAAGCAGCUUGGCUCCAGGGACUCUGACUACCCUAGUAUACCUGACCUCUCACUUAGGAGGAUGGGUAUCAAUUCUAUCAUCCCAUCAUUCUCACAAAAUGAGAGAGCUGCUAGCACUUGGUCUCUGAGGGGUAUGGGUUCAAGCAUAUGGGAAACUGACAUUCCAGAGGCUCAAGAGCUGCCAUUUAGGUGGGAGAUGAAUUGAGGGGUCUGGGUGGCAGUGUACAAAUGGAGCACUCCACUAGGAGUCAGAAGGCCAGUGUUUCUGGUUGGGCUGGAAACACCCCCUUGUGAGUCUUAAUAGUGUCUUUAAUUUCAGGGUCUUAAUGUCCAACUGUGAAUGGCCCUUCCUUGCCUCCCAGGGAGACUGGGGAGAGAAAUCAUUCUGAGAUACCUCAAGCUGCUUUGAACCUGAGAGAAGUAGUACUCACGUCCCAGUAUAGUCAUUAAUGUUGAUCUGUCAUUCUUUUCACAUGUAAAUGUAAAUUCCCUGGGGCUGCUGGGCUGGGGAGUUCUCUACACUGAUUCCCAAAGCAGCUAGGACACCAUCCUCCUUUCACAAGGAGACCCUCAUAGAGGACUGUGGCCUGACAUGAACCAGUAGUCAGCCUAAGGACUUGGCUAGCUUAAGGGCAGGGGCCUGAGACUGGAGACUUUGUUGGUGGUGGUGUCUCUAAUUAGAAAAGAACAGGGUGGCCUCAGCCAAACUGAAAGCACCAAGACCUUAGCUGAACUGAACUUGGUGUGUAACAGAAAAAGUCCCUCUGGUCCCUGCUGGGCUUGGCACUGGGGAUAAACAGUGUCUCCCCAGGCUUCCAUCCCUGGAACAAUCAGCCUGUCCAUCCCCCAGUGGGGAAAAGGAGUAGAGCCAGGAUCAGGACAGGCACCACUUAGCCUUUCCAAGGAACCCUCUUUGGGGAAGGUUAUAGGGUCACCAAGACUUCCUGUCCAAGCCUUGGGCCUCCGCCUGGACACAGCUUGAGAGACAAGAGCCCAAAAGGUUGGCCUUUCUAAACCUGAAAGCUUCUGAUUCCACAGGAUGCAGGGAGUUUCCCUCUGGUGGCUGCCCUCAGCCAACAUCCUGCCCCACAGGGUGGUCAAGAAUCCUCUCCUGCUGUAAACAGCUUGUGCCUCCCAAAGCAGAGGGCAAAGACUGGGAGGCUUCCAGACUGGGAAAGAUGGAUGUGGCCUGGAGGCCCAGACACGCACAGGCUGUGUUUGUGGCAGGUUCUGGCAACAAUGUCAAGAAAAGAGCUGGCUUUCUCACAACCAAGCAUCAAAACCUCCUACCUGGGAACCUCUAAGAAGGCUGGCUGGGGUUACUGCUUCUCUUCCCACUACAGGCAGGUGGCAGGAAUGAGUCCCCCCCAACCCCCACACACUGCAGAAGGACCUAGUUGGGGAGGGGGUGGGGGUAGGUGCAGCGGAGGAAGCUUCCCCACUGUUCCUGUCUGGGAGGCAAAUGAUACAGCUGAUCCCACCCCACGGGAUGGUGGGGUGGGCUUUCCUCUCAGGUGUUCAGGUGUUUCUUUGAGAAAGGGGCUGCCAGGUUUUGGAAAGGAGGGACCAAGAGUCUCACCAUCCCUUUUAGGAUGCUGGCAGUUUUGUGGAUCUCCUCUAUGUUUUCCAAAGGAAGUUGGUGCUAGCUUCUGCGCUCCCGGUAGAUGAGUGAGGAAGGAUCAUCUAGGUAACAGAUGACUCAGGCAAGGGCGGAGACCCUCACCACCCUCAUCGCUGACGCGCCUUCCCCAGAACAACAUGCUGGUCUCUAUCGCGGGCAUCUCCCACAACACAGACCCACUCCUUCCUCUAAGACCAAGGGCAACUCGUCGGGGGUCGCGGCCUGUUUGGUAGCUGCUUGGCUUGGGGGGAGAAACUUGGGAACGGCGACGCAGCGCCACCCGCUAACAGUGCCUGCCCGAGCCUGGAGCUGGCGACAGCUCCUCUCGCCCCGCACAGCCCAGGCUGCAGCGCCGCGGGUCUCCUCGGAGCCGCCCGGGAGCGGCGGGCCCUGAGCGCCCUGGCCCUGCCCUGCACCCGCCGGUCUUACCAUGGCUGCAGCCCGGGCCGGGCCGGCUCCGCCUGGACAGCGCCCGAGCGACCCGCGGAUGGAGCUGCGCGCGGACCUCACCGCACCGCCUGCCCCCACUUGCCUCCCCGAGUCCCGACCGCUUGGGGCGGGGCGAGUCAGCGGGGGCGGGGCGAGUCGGGCCCCGGGAGGGGCCUGCACCUCAGCGGUGGGUGCCCGCGCGAACGAGGCUUGGGGCGCCAGCCAUCCCCUGAAGCAUAGAGCAGGGUGGAGGCCUCUGCUCCUUGACCCUGGGCUACAUUGGCUACCUGGCUUUUUCUUAAUCCUUGGAGUGGCUUCUUUGGACAGCUCAGGACCCCGGGAAUUUAAACCAGUACCCAAAAAGAAAGCAACAACCACCUAGCAUCCCUAGAAGGAGAUGCCUUUGCAAAGGGAGGAGGAGUUGCCAUAAGAGUUGGAGAGAACAUUUGGUCACCCCAGGGAUUCAUCAAAGUGUUAUGGAAGUUGACUGAUUUCCAAGUUACUGAUUGUCCAUACCCUCACCACACCUCCUAAAGGGGAAUGUCAAAACAUUCUCCAGCUCCAUCCAAGCUGUGGAAAAGACAGGUUAGCAGUAAAUUCCCUUUGUACAGGACCUCAGAUUAGAGAUUAAAGAGGAUUUACUGCAGAAAUUAUCCAGGGAUCAUCUGCUGGAAGGCUAGAAGGGGGAGGCUGAGUGGCUUUAAUAGGGCAUUGGAGCCUUGCCUAGAGCUGAGGAAAGCUGGAAGGGCCUCUGGGGGAGGCCAGCCUAGGCAUGACCCAGGCUCAGCUGGACCAUACUUCCUCUGACAAGCAGGUGAGAUGCUGUAGGACAGAUGCUUCAGCAUCUUUAAAAGCAUUAGAAGCUCAGAAGUGCCAGAGCAACAGCUAGAGAGAGGUACAUGCUUGGAGGUGGGGAGUUGGUGAGGUCCAAAAGCAUCCCCCUCAGACUCCAAAAGCCCUCCUACAAGGACAGGCUGACUGGCCUUUGCCUGUAUUUGUUCUGGACAAAACUGAGCCCCAUAGGUAUGGCGCUCUCUAUGGGUGGAAGUGUCAGAUGCCUGCCUAUCUUAUUUCUAUCUGAUCUGUGAGCUACUGGCCUCAAUUGAGACCAGUCAGUAUUCAGUCAAGGGAGGAACAGCAGAUAAAAUCCGGCUCUGGAAAACAUGGAACUGCUGUAGGAGAUAUGACUGGAUAUUUGGCACUGGUGAACUGGGAGAUUAAGAGAGGUUGUUGCUUAAACACAUCAGAAGCAAAUAUUCAUUAACCAGAAGUUGAGGAGAAAAACUCCUAGUAGUUGGGCAACCAUGAGCACCUCACUUCACCUCUCAGGCUCUUAGUUCCUCCUGAAAAUAAGGGGAAUUAAACUAGAUUAUUUUUAAGUUUCCUUGCAAUUUCUGGCAUUCUAAAAGUAGAUUUAAUGAAGAAGGAGGGUAUGCUGUAGGCCUUGGAGGAAGAAAGCAAGGUAACAGAAGGAGAUACUAAAGAAAACUUGGACUUGAAGAGACUCAGAUGGCUCUGGAAGCAUAGGAAAAUGGGGAUCUACAGCUUGACUCCAGUGAGAAGGGACCUCUGAAGUUCUAGAGAGGCUCCCAGAAAAGGCCUGGGGUAGACCCAGGAGAUCUGAAGCUUACUCAGGAGGACAAAAGACCUAAAGAGAUAAUCAAUGGCUGUUAGAGGUCUGCAGAAGCAGUAGUGGCUACUGCCAUCAGAUCCAACGGUCAUGAGACCCCACUGUUCAAAGCCCUAGUCCCCUAUUACUGAUGCAGGUACAUUUAUCUUGGAUAAAUUCUACUUUUAUGAGUAACUAUAACAUACCAAUUUUUAAAAAUGAAUUAUUAGAAGGAUCAACAGAGGUGAGGCCAGGGAUUGGAGGAGGGAGGAGAAGAGGCAAAGGAGUGGCACCAGGGAUUGAAAUUGAGCAAAUUAUGUUAUAUAAUUUAUUAUUAUAAAUAAUAAUUUAUAGUAUUAUUAAUAAUUUAUAGUAUUAUUUAAUUUAUAAUUAAUAUUAUUAUAUAUAACCCUAUAUUCAUGAAUAUGUUAAAACUGAGCCCCUCAAUUAUGUAAAACUAUAAUGCACAAAAAUAAAAAAGAAGAAUACCUCUUGGGUGCUUCCAA